AAAAAAGUGAAAUUUCUUUUCCAGAAACUGAAAUUAUGAGAGCAUUAUGGAAAAUCAAAAUUGCUGUUUUUUUUUUGCUUAAAAAUUUUUGCCCUUGUUUUUCCUAUGAUUCAGUAAAAAGGUGGUUAGCACAUGCUUCAAUCCUAAAUUUUCAUUUUCUAUAUAUUUUUUAUUGGUUUUAUCCUAUUUAUAUAUUCCUAAAUCUGGUUCUUUCAGUUUCUUUUUUGUUCACAUUAUAUUUAUAUGUUGGGCAUUAAUUAAAGACUAGUUCUUUUCCAGAAAGAUAAUUUUUUCGAAGCUAGGAGUCAUUGAAUUUGAACAACACGAUGAUAAUUGUUUUUAGUUAUUUUUCCUCAAUACUUGUUUCUUACAACAGUAAUUCUUAUCUUGUUUUUUUGUUCAGGUUUAUGAGAUGUGUAAUGCUG
rnacentral:misc_RNA from 1 species